GCCAUUUGAAACUGUGAAUAAAUUCGGUGAACCUGAAUGUUUCUGUCGGGAAAUCAACCUACCGGACCUGAGACGAACAUAGAAGGGUUACAAGAGGCUCUUCCCAUCAUUCCCAGUGGACCCACUGGUGAAGAAGUAAAGACGCUUACAGCCUCGUUACAAAAGCUGUUUG